UGUUUCGGCUAGGGGGUCAUCCCGACUUACCAACCCGAUGCAAACUACGAAUACCGAAGAAUGUUAUCACGGGAGACACACGGCGGGUGCUAACGUCCGUCGUGAAGAGGGAAACAACCCAGACCGCCAGCUAAGGUCCCAAAGUCAUGGUUAAGUGGGAAACGAUGUGGGAAGGCACAGACAGCCAGGAUGUUGGCUUAGAAGCAGCCAUCAUUUAAAGAAAGCGUAAUAGCUCACUGGUCGAGUCGGCCUGCGCGGAAGAUGUAACGGGGCUAAACCAUGCACCGAAGCUGCGGCAGCGACACUAUGUGUUGUUGGGUAGGGGAGCGUUCUGUAAGCCUGCGAAGGUGACCUGUGAGGGUUGCUGGAGGUAUCAGA
rnacentral:rRNA from 1 species